ensembl:lncRNA
CUGGCACAGGCUUGGGCGAGGUGGCAGCUGCAGCUGUGGGUGGCUUUGUUCUUAGAAGCAGCUUUCAGGGCUGUGGUUCAGCCUGGCAGCAGUGUUCCGGGAAUAGGUGAGACAGGAGAGCUGCCCCCUGGUAGCAGUGCCACCUUCCACCACAGCGAUGCUCUAUUUCUGUUGACAGCCAGAGAGUCUUGCUCCCUGGGGUCACCAGCCGGGCUCACUGCUUGGCAGGGUGGGUGCUAUACUUCCAUGUGGCCUGCCUUCCAGAGGGGAGAGGCCCUGAAGAGUCUGGCGGUAAGUCUGGAGGAGCGUCCCUGUCAGGAGAGGGCAGUGUGUACCCUUGGGCAUCCUGCAGCCUGGCAUUCCUUCUGCUCUCUCUUUGCAGCUCCGGAGUUGGGCUGCUCACAGACCAAGCUGUCUGUUUGUAUGGAGUGCCUGGAGGGCGUCUGCCACGAGUCUGUUGCUAACCGUGCUAACCAGGAGAGCUGGCUGGUUGGGGAGAAGACACUAACCCUGCUGGGAAAGGAGAAGGGGGGUCCAGAGGUUGCAGGAAGGCUGACUGCGUGGGGCUCCCUGGUGGUUUGCACAGGUAACUGUAGACAGAUCCUGUCUGCUGCCUCUGGGGGCAGUGCCUGGGGAGUGGGGAGGAGUGUGGUGCGCUUGAUAGGGGAACCUGAGACCUGGAGGCCCUCUAAGCCGCCUCUGUUUCCCUUGAGCCGGGAGGCAGAGGGCAGGAAGCUGCCGGUGCCCACAGAGUGGGAGUGUGUAAACAGGAGUGGGUGCAGGGGCUCCGCAGAUGGUGUGGACCCUGAAUAGAGAGUUAGCAAGCUGGAGGGAAAGGUUGAGGGCAGGAGGAGAAGGGGAUGGCAGAGGAUGACAUGGUUGGAUGGCGUCACCAACUCAAUGGACAUGAGCUUGAGCAGACUCUGGGAGAAGGUGAAGGACAGGGAAGCCUGGCGUGCUGCAGUCCAUGGGAUCACAGAGUCGGACACGACUGAGCGACUGAGCAGCAGCACCCUGGAGGGGCCUGUGGCUUGGCUUUGACCAGAGAGUAGGAGGGGUGCGGAAUGGAGGGUUGGUUCUCCUGAGGGGAGGUCGUGGGGGCGAAGGUCAAGGGCUGCUUCUGAUCUGGGGACUUUUGGGUGGGGGUUGGUUUGCUUGGAUCAUUGUCAUCAGUAGUCUUCAGCCCCUUUCUUCCUGUCGAGUAUUGGCUUGAACAAGAGGCCAGGUGGAUAGACUCAAGGUAUUUGCCCUGGUGGGGAGCCAGGUAAGCUCUCACAGGUCACCAGCACUACUUCUGAGACCUCAGGGUGACUCUGGGGCAGGAUAUUCCCCCCCAUUCUGGUUUGUUAAAUACCUGUAGUCUGUUCCGCUUAGAGUGGGCAGGGGGCCAGGUUAGCGCCGCAGGCAGCAUGUCCCAAAAGGGUGAGGUUGUACUUUCCCAGAGGGGUGGCAGGCCUGCCUGGGGGAGGGGCAGUGGGGCUGGUCUGGGCACAGACUGGCAUCUUCCAGCCUUGUCAUCGGCCCAGAGGAGAGCCUGCCCGGGCCCCACCCGUGUUCUGCUGGCUGCUUGCCUGCCACGCGCCCAGGAUCGCUCAGGGCUUUGCUCAGGUAUCUCGGGAACAGCUGCGCCGGAAACUGGGGGCCGGUGCUGGGAGGAUGGAACACAGGCUGCUUCAGUAGGAUCGGUUCUC